UACGAAGGGUGCAAGCGUUACUCGGAAUUACUGGGCGUAAAGCGUGCGCAGGCGGUUUUGUAAGUCUGACGUGAAAUCCCCGGGCUCAACCUGGGAAUUGCGUUUGGAGACUGCAAGGCUGGAGUCUGGCAGAGGGGGGUAGAAUUCCACGUGUAGCAGUGAAAUGCGUAGAGAUGUGGAGGAACACCGAUGGCGAAGGCAGCCCCCUGGGUCAAGACUGACGCUCAUGCACGAAAGCGUGGGGAGCAAACAGG
rnacentral:rRNA from 1 species